rnacentral:rRNA from 1 species
UUCUUCAGUAAAAAUUAUUCAAACAAACUAAUUAAUUAAAAGGAACUCGGCAAAAUUAGUUGCUUCGCCUGUUUAUCAAAAACAUGGCUCUCUGCUUAUGUAAAUAUAGAGAGUCGAGCCUGCCCAGUGAAUUUUCAACGGCCGCGGUACCCUGACCGUGCAAAGGUAGCAUAAUCAUUUGCCUUAUAAUUGAAGGCUAGUAUGAAUGGUUUGACGAGAGCAACGCUGUCUCUUUUUUAUUUUCAAGAACUUAACUUUUAGGUGAAGAGGCCUAAAUUUUAUUGAAGGACAAGAAGACCCUGUCGAGCUUAAAAGAUAUUAUAGAAGUGCAUAUAUUUUUAAAUAAAUUUUCUAUUCAGCUUUUUAGUUGGGGCGACUAAGGAACAAAAAGAGCUUCUUAUUAAUAAUAAACACUCAUGUUUAGAUCCGGCAAUAACCGAUCAAAGGAAUUAGUUACCGCAGGGAUAACAGCAUAAUCUCUCUUGAGAGACCUAAUCGAAAGAGGGGGUUGUGACCUCGAUGUUGGACUAGAAUAUCCUAAAGAUGCAG